GCCCCUGUAGUGUAGUGGUAGCACGCGCCCCCGAUAAUGGUGAAACGCGGGUUCAACUCCCACCUGAGGUC